GCCGGGGUGGCGGAAUUGGCAGACGCGCCAGAUUCAAAAUCUGGUGACCUUACGGUCGUGGGGGUUCAAGUCCCCCUCCCGGCACCA
rnacentral:tRNA from 1 species